rnacentral:rRNA from 1 species
UACGGGGGGGGUAAGCGUUGUUCGGAAUUACUGGGCGUAAAGGGCUCGUAGGCGGCCAACUAAGUCAGACGUGAAAUCCCUCAGCUUAACUGGGGAACUGCGUCUGAUACUGGAUGGCUUGGAUUCGGGAGAGGAAUGCGGAAUUCCAGGUGUAGCGGUGAAAUGCGCAGAUAUCGGGAGGAACACCGGUGGCGAAGGCGGUUCUCUGGGCCUUACCUGACACUGAGGAGCGAAAGCGUGGGGAGCGAACAGG